rnacentral:rRNA from 1 species
GACGAACGCUGGCGGCGUGCUUAACACAUGCCAGUCGAACGGAAAGGCCCCUUUGGGGGUACUCGAGUGGCGAACGGGUGAGUAACACGUGAGUAACCUGCCCUUGACUUCGGGAUAACUUCAGGAAACUGGGGCUAAUACCGGAUAGGAAUCCUUGCUGCAUGGUGGGGGUUGGAAAGCUUCGGCGGUUUUGGAUGGACUCGCGGCUUAUCAGCUUGUUGGUGGGGUAGUGGCUUACCAAGGCUUUGACGGGUAGCCGGCCUGAGAGGGCGACCGGCCACAUUGGGACUGAGAUACGGCCCAGACUCCUACGGGAGGCAGCAGUGGGGAAUAUUGCACAAGGGGCGGAAGCCUGAUGCAGCAACGCCGCGUGCGGGAUGACGGCCUUCGGGUUGUAAACCGCGUUCAGCAGGGGCGAAGCUUGUGGUGACGGUACCUGCAGAAGAAGCACCGGCUAACUACGUG